UGGACCUGGCUACCUGCUGCAUGGCUGAAGUGAGCUGCCUUCAACCUGUGUGAAACAGACCAGUUAGGUCAAGAGUGGGCCAACCUGUGGCAGAAGCCUGGAUGGAUGGGGAUACUGGAUGCUCCUGAAAGAAAGAAACAAGAAGAACAAAAAGGCAAAAGAGGGAGAGCAGCUCCAUCUAUUGGAAUCAGAGGAGAGCAGCACACACAGGGAGGGUGGUGCUGUCGAUGGGGAACGGGCCAUGGGCGACGGCCAGCCACACACCUGAACCUGGUGGAGGUUGAGGCCCGAGGGAACCUCAGUUCUCAGCUUGCAGAUCCAGAGUCCCUCGUUUCUUCUGCGCUGGCCGACCGUCCAAGACGCGCAUGUCUGCAGACCCGAGAUGGAGAGGUGCUGGGGAGAGUGCACCUGGAAGUGUUUGA